rnacentral:lncRNA from 1 species
AUGAUGUCAUCUGAGAGUAGGGCCAGUGGGAGGGAUGGUAACCAAGCAGAUAGGAGCUAUCCCAUAAGAGGGGACGUUACCACCUGUUUCCUCACCUGUCAUGACAGAGUCCUACCUGUUCCCUCUUCCUUAAUUACUGCAAAGCUGUCUGGGGACUGUAGUGAAAGCAUCCGGAAUACACCAGAGAACUGUAACCCUGGUUACCCUGCAGCUAACCAACACAGAAUAGCCAGUCUACCAAGAGGCAGGCAUAAUAUCAACAAGCAGGAGAGCUAUAGUCUGAUGAGAGAGGAGUAUACAAGUAAGGAACCAGAUGUUACAUCAUCCACCCCUGGUAGUCCCGGGGUGACCCUGGAGAGGAGGCCAUCCUCAGCCAGGCAGGGGAUCUGCUCCUGGGCCAGGGAGAGCCUCCCUCUCCCCUUCUCACCAGCUCGGAAGUACAGCCUGGAGCAGCAUACCCAGAGAACUAGUAACCGUUCUCUCAGCACAGCCAGUAGUUCACCGUUGGAGCCCAUGCCAUCCACUCUGAGUGUUAGACAUGAUAGCGGGAAGCUGAAAUCCCCUGUAGUGGAAAGCAGUAGGCUGUUCAGUGCUAAACUAGAGCAGUUGGCUAGCAGGACCAACUCUUUAGGUAGAAUACCACUGGAGUGCCACACUCUGGACCGAGGCAGUAGCCUGUCCUCUGUGAGCUCCAAGGGGUCCAAAAGUUUUGAAUGGGAGUCAAACCAUCCCACCCUACCCUGGGCCAGCAGGAGCUGGCCCAUUCCCUUGACGGAUAACAACACCCCCAACACAGCCCAUUCUCCCAAAACCAGCAGGUCAACCUUUAUAACUGACCCCAACACAACCCUCCAGUCUCCAAGAUCCGGCCGGUCUAAGCUCUCUGCAGCAGGGAAACCCGCCCUAAUGCCCGCCGGAUCUCCAUCCCUAGUACCAAGAACCUCAGCUUUUCUCUCAAGGUGCUCCAUCAGUCCAUCAACAGGAGCACUGGUCUUUCCCCUGAUGGGAAGAGUCCUGAGCAAAGUCCACCCUGGUCCACCCAGUCUCUAA